ACACCAACGGUCACAUUACCAGCUGAAUUUUGUAUAUAAAGCAGCUACGAGAAAGCCAUAAUCGGCCCGCUGUCGGCGCCUCGCAUUCCUCUCGAAUCGUACUUCGCAACCAGACUUCUCGGAGCGUAAUAUUGAACCUCCGCAACGAAUCUUCUCGGAGCGUAAUUGAACCUCCGCAACGAAUCUUCUCCACAUGUUAAGACCGGAGUUGCAUGUGCUCUCUAUCAGUAGCAGCUCUGUGGUUUGCUGCUGUUUUAUGCUGUACGUGAGCUUCAGCCCAGCAGGAGCGGCUUUUCCCUCUGCACAAUAGAUAGAGCCGGGUCGAGCUCUAUCCUAUCCAUACUCUGAGCCACCACCAAUACUUUUAGUGCGGCGGUUGCACAUACUUGUGGAGAUGGUAGAUGGCGACGGUAGAUGGCGAGGGGCGCGUGGGCUGUGCGGAUAUUUCGCGUUAAACUCUUUAUCCAUAGCGCUAAAUUUAAUGAAAAGAAAUAUAUAUACAAAAUUAGGGCUCCUCCUUCAUCUUCAGCCAUAAUCGCGGCUGGACGCCCAUAAUUUUCGGGCGAAAGAUCAAUCGCGAGCUCCGGCGCUGCAGAUCGUUGAAAACUCGCUCGAACUGGCAGACCGCCAGCCCUUUGUAUUGCGGCGGUUGCACCUUGCCGCAGCCCGGGAGGAGCUUUACUUUCCCGCGGCGGGGUAGGAGCUUGCCUAAUACAUCUCCGCUUUUCCACUUCGAUGGGCGUGAAUGAAUAGUCUUUUUCUGCCUCAUAUACGCGGUGCGCUCCGAUCCCAAAAUCUGGCAGCACUGGGCACCACAUGUUAAGACCGGAGUUGCAGUGAGUUGUACUUUGCAAUUAUUUCGUUCUAAAUUUUGUUAGAAGUUUGAUAAAAUAAAUCUUCUAUUAUAAUGCCUUUCAAUUAAAAAUAAACAAAAUUCACACGGAAUAUUAUUAUUAUUAUUAAUAUGCAUCAAAAUCCAUAUUUUCGAUGAAAAAAAUAAUUGUCUUCCCAUUUUUCACCCAGUGUGCUAUCUAUCAGUAGUAGCUCUGAGGUUUGCUGCUGUUUUAUGCUGUACGUGAGCUUCAGCCCAGCAGGAGCGGCUUUUCCCUCUGCACAAUAGAUAGAGCCGGGUCGAGCUCAAUCCUAUCCAUACUCUGAGCCACCACCAAUACUUUUAGUGCGGCGGUUGCACAUACUUGGGGAGAUGGUAGAUGGCGACGGUAGAUGGCGAGGGGCGCGUGGGCUGUGCGGAUAUUUCGCGUUAAACUCUUUAUCCAUAGCGCUAAAUUUAAAGAAAAUAAAUAUAUAUACAAAAUUAGGGCUCCUCCUUCAUCUUCAGCCAUAAUCGCGGCUGGACGCCCAUAAUUUUCGGGCGAAAGAUCAAUCGCGAGCUCCGGCGCUGCAGAUCGUUGAAAACUCGCUCGAACUGGCAGACCGCCAGCCCUUUGUAUUGCGGCGGUUGCACCUUGCCGCAGCCCGGGAGGAGCUUUACUUUCCCGCGGCGGGGUAGGAGCUUGCCUAAUACAUCUCCGCUUUUCCACUUCGAUGGGCGUGAAUGAAUAGUCUUUUUCUGCCUCAUAUACGCGGUGCGCUCCGAUCCCAAAAUCUGGCAGCACUGGGCACCACAUGUUAAGACCGGAGUUGCAGUGAGUUGUACUUUGCAAUUAUUUCGUUCUAAAUUUCGUUAGAAGUUUGAUAAAAUAAAUCUUCUAUUAUAAUGCCUUUCAAUUAAAAAUUAACAAAAUUCACAUGGAAUAUAAUUAUUAUUAUUAAUAUGCAUCAAAAUCCAUAUUUUCGAUGAAAAAAAUAAUUGUCUUCCCAUUUUUCACCCAGUGUGCUCUCUAUCAGUAGCAGCUCUGUGGUUUGCUGCUGUUUUAUGCUGUACGUGAGCUUCAGCCCAGCAGGAGCGGCUUUUCCCUCUGCACAAUAGAUAGAGCCGGGUCGAGCUCAAUCCUAUCCAUACUCUGAGCCACCACCAAUACUUUUAGUGCGGCGGUUGCACAUACUUGGGGAGGGUGCACAUAGUUGCGGCGGUUGCACAUAUUUGCAGCGACGGUAGAUGGCGAGGGGCGCGUGGGCUGUGCAGAGCAGUACGCUCCGGAUAUUUCGCGUUAAACUCUUUAUCCAUAGCGCUAAAUUUAAUGAAAAGAAAUAUAUAUACAAAAUUAGGGCUCCUCCUUCAUCUUCAGCCAUAAUCGCGGCUGGACGCCCAUAAUUUUCGGGCGAAAGAUCAAUCGCGAGCUCCGGCGCUGCAGAUCGUUGAAAACUCGCUCGAACUGGCAGACCGCCAGCCCUUUGUAUUGCGGCGGUUGCACCUUGCCGCAGCCCGGGAGGAGCUUUACUUUCCCGCGGCGGGGUAGGAGCUUGCCUAAUACAUCUCCGCUUUUCCACUUCGAUGGGCGUGAAUGAAUAGUCUUUUUCUGCCUCAUAUACGCGGUGCGCUCCGAUCCCAAAAUCUGGCAGCACUGGGCACCACAUGUUAAGACCGGAGUUGCAUGUGCUCUCUAUCAGUAGCAGCUCUGUGGUUUGCUGCUGUUUUAUGCUGUACGUGAGCUUCAGCCCAGCAGGAGCGGCUUUUCCCUCUGCACAAUAGAUAGAGCCGGGUCGAGCUCAAUCCUAUCCAUACUCUGAGCCACCACCAAUACUUUUAGUGCGGCGGUUGCACAUACUUGGGGAGGGUGCACAUAGUUGCGGCGGUUGCACAUAUUUGCAGCGACGGUAGAUGGCGAGGGGCGCGUGGGCUGUGCAGAGCAGUACGCUCCGUAUAUUUUGCGUUAAACUCUUUAUCCAUAGCGCUAAAUUUAAUGAAAAGAAAUAUAUAUGU